GAGUCUUUGUAAGGCCUGAUUCUGGCCCCCGAGCUGUAUGUUGGACAUCCCAUCCAGUAAGAACAUACAAUCCUUACCAAGCCAGUAUUCAUAAUGAAUUCAUAUAUUAUAUAUAAUUGCUUACAUGCAUAUUUCCAGGAAUUUUUUAAAGUCGGAUAGGCAAAAAAGAAGAAUGGGAAGACUCUGUUGGGUUGCAAUCAAGUUAGACAUUAAAAAAUAUCUUAUUGCUUUGCAUUGAAUUGCUUUUUCAUACAGUUUGAGUCAUUAUCAGUUUUAACUUAAACAAACCCUCUGUAAUAUACUGUUCGUAUUGCUCCCUCUUGUGGUCUUCUGAAGUUUUAUAAAACAUGAAAAGUUUUGUCCACUUUCGGGCUAUGUUUAUAGUUUAUUUCUUUAUAAUUUCAAUUUCGUGUUGGGGUUUUUUUUUUUUGGUCUGAUUUUCUUUUGUAAUACUGUUCGACAACUUCAAGGAUAGCAUUUUGUUUCCCCACCCCAAAAAACACAGUUGGUACAUUCCAGUUUAACAGGCACGGACGGGGUUCGAACCCGCGAUCUUCGGUUUACGAGACCGACGCCUUACCACUUGGCCACCGCGCCUGGUAAUAUAAAACCUGCAGUAUCUGUCAAUUUCAAGGUACAGCGUCAACGUGUGACGUAAGUGCUGAGAUUUCAUUUGACCGUUUCACUGACGGAGAAGAAUCACGAUCCCGACCUCCAUCCAAAAUCUGUUCAGUUUUGGCUUUCUCAUCAUCAACACGCAAAUGCACGUCAUAUUAUAAAAGCCAAGGACGGAAAUUCUUUAAAACUGAGAUAAAAUAUCCUGACAACAUCAUGUAUGAAGCCGAGUGUCCCAGUCGAAGGCAUUGCUGAUAAAGACUGCCUCAGGUUAUGGUUUAUAGGCUACGUUUUUGGGUCUGUGCGAAGUAAGAAAAUUCGUUAUGUUUCUGAAUGGAGUUUGGCGUUUCUUCACGACCUCACAUACGCGAUGAAAGGGUGUCUUCAAGGGAAACGCACCCGGAAGCAGAUGAAGUGGCUCACGACAGAUGGGAUUUCACACUUUCCUUUUUAACCGCUAACUGUAGAGUCAGCAUGAUGAUGUGAAAGACUCCUGUACAUGUAUGGCAUGGAGGAAGGGCUGUCUGAUCCUCGAGUAAUGCUUCUGUAACAGAGUCUGAUCUACAGCUGAGCCUCCAUCCUCCUGCUUAGCCAUGCCGUUGGUGGUGGAUGCUGUGUGGGCGCUGUGGAGCAUCACAGCCGGCGUCUACGACUACUUCCACACCAGUGCCAUGGAGGAGAGGAUCCACACACUGGAGAACGUCCUCUCCAUCCACCAGUUUGUGAUUGCAGGCCUGUCAGCAGGCCUCAUUCUGCUCAUGACCUACAUACUGUUGAGAAAACACUAAAACCGUCCUCACCCGAAGGACAAGCGCCCACUAUAGGUCGUUUACCUGAAGGAUGGCAUGUUUGGUGACAGUCAGGAUGUCCCAGAUGAAGUCGGGAGGACUGAUGGGCUCCUAAGUCUGACCAACAAAGCUCCACCGGGACAUGCUUUCUAAAACCUGGUGCACUUUGGGUAGUGGCUGCUUGGUUGGUUUGUCUGUUUGCUGCUUUGUUUAAAUGUUAAAUUAUUCUGCUAAAAGAAACAUAACAGCUUCUCAAGGCGAAUUUGCACUCUGUUUUCCUAAACAUGAAGGACUUCAUUGUUUAGGAAAACCACCUGAGAUGGCGUCAAGAACUCAAACACCUCCUCAGAGUGUAACGAAGGAGUUAAAAUGAAGUUAUUGUCGGUUUUAAAAGGGAAGAAGCCCAGAAUGACUGUGAUCACUGCUUCAUUUUUAACACUGUUGUUGAAAAAUCACACCAUAAUUAACUCGAUCAGUUCUUCUUUUGUGCUUCCAAAUGAAUCAUGUUAUUUGUUAAGACAAAUAAUCUGAGAUGCAUCAAAAUUGCCCGUUAAUCUUUACAUCUUCUAGCUCCAUCUUCAUGACUUAUAAAUGGUGGCAAUGUCUGAAUGAGACACGUGAUAUUGUGGACUAAUUAGGGGCCCGUUCUCACUGAUCCGAGCCAGAAUUACACGUGUGAGACCUCAGGUGCACCACUCAGUUUAGGAGAUGGUGUCAGUGGUUUGUUCAGUUUCUCGUGUCAGAAUACUUUUUUGUAGAUGAUUUGAACCCUCGGACCGUUACAGGGAGUCUAUGGUCAAAAUCAGCUACGGAAAGCACACAGGAAGAGAAGGAAACCAAGUCUUUCGCUAAAAUGUCAACAGUGAGGGGAUUACCCAUCACUAAUAAGGUUGUGACAGUGAAGUGGACUUAUUCUGCUUAUGCAAAUAGCUUUGCAUGAUUCACAGCUCAACAUACGCUUUGAUCCAACCCUGAAGUUCAUCUUCUGUCUAAAAUGAGAUGUUUUAGCCCCUCCCCCUUUAAUCCAAUACAACUUUAUUUAACCCAACUUUCUUUUUGGUCUCAGUCACACAAACCGGCCACCAACCACCUGGCAACCUCCAGACGCUGGGGAAAAAUGUCUAUUUCCUGAAUUCAUUGGGUUGCCUUAGGUUGAUGGCUGUUGUCAGUUGAAAUCAGUUGCAAAGAAACCCUGUCGAGAUGCUUUGGUCACUAGCUGCAGACUAAAAGCACAACUUUUAGUUUGGAGGCAUCGGUCUCUGUUACUGGUUUCUGUUUCAUUGUUUCACUAACCAAAGUAAAUGUGGACGGAGGAACAGUAACAUCAGCCUGGGUUUUGACUUUCAUUGACUUUAUGCAGUGUUUAAUUUUUAAAUUGAUUCAGUGGGACAGAAAUGCCAAAAAUGUGAUGUCUGGGUCUGCUAAGCUUGAUGGGAAUAUGGUCAUACUAGAAUCUACCCCAUCUCUGAGACUGGUUCCAACAUGCACAGUCCGGUCAUGGUAUUUGCUGUAAAAGAUUAUAAUCAGAGAUUUUAAAACAUGCUCUGUGGCAACUGUGGUUUGUAAUUACCCUGAUUCCACCGACACACCUGGACUUGGAGGAUAAACUCAAAAAACGCUUCAAAUGCUGGGAAAUGAAUUUGUCCUGUACGUGGUUUAUUUAUUUUUAAACACCAAAGGGAAAUGAUCAUGUAGGAUGGAGGUUAAAGUCUGCAUUUAAUGUGGAAAAGGGAGAUUGGGCGUUUAAUCUGUUUGUUUACAUUUUUACUAAUGUGUGUGUUAGGAUUUAACCGAUUCUUGGUGGCUCACUCACUGCUGUUCCUGCUCACACUGGGCUUCAUUGUCAGUGUACUGUAAACACUACUGUGUGCUCUACCCAGCCGAACCUCUGCCGCGACUGCUAUUAAAAGGGAAUAUGUUUGAAUAUUGAUCAGAAUUUAAGUCCAGACUUUGUUGUCUUUUAUUCAUAAUUUGUGUUUGCUGAUUUACGGUUUUUUGUUGCUGUUCCUCUUUUCUUUUGUCCUCUCACCUCCCUGCUCCUUCAGCCUGGCUCUGUAAGAGUUCUUUUCCUGUUGAAAGGGAGCUCUUCCUCCCCGCCAUUGCCAAUUGUUUUGACAUAGAGGAUCAUCUCAUGGUUGGGAAUCUUUUUCUACUAUUGUAAAGGAUUUUUCCUGUGAAGACUGCUUUGGUAGUAUGGGGUAUUAGCCCUGUUGUCACGUGUUCUUCCGUCCUUGUACGACCACAGUGCAAGCACAGUUCUCAUUUCCAGCAAUAAGUCAAAUUAGGCCAGUGUGACUGGAACUUUUAUGGACAAACAUUUGUAGGCAAAGUCAAGGAGAUGAAGUUGGAGAUCGCAUCUUUGCGUUUUUGUGAAUGGCGUGGUCAACAAACGCUCACUAUACUGCCAAAGGUAUUCACUCAACCAUCCAGAUAAUUGAAUUCAGGUGUUCCAGUCACUUCCAUGACCACAGGUGUAUAAAAUGAAGCACCUACACACGCAGACUGUUUCUACAAACAUUUGUGAAAUAAUGGGUCACUCUCAGGAGCUCGUGAACCGUGAUAGGAUGCCACCUGGGCAGGAAGUCCAAUCGUGAAAUUGUAAGUAGGUCACCUACUUUCUGCAGACGGUUGCUACAGACCUCCAAACUUGAUGUGUCCUUCAGAUUAGCUCCAUAAACAGUGUGUAGAGUGCUUCAUGUUUCCAUUUCCGAGCAUCUGCAUCCAAGCCUUACAUCACCAAGCGCAACGCAAAGUGUCAGAUGCAGUGGCGCAAAGCACCCCGCCACUAGACUCUUGAGCAGUAGAGUGAUGGGAGUGAUGAAUCACUUCUCCAUCUAGCAAUCUGAUGGACGAGUCUGAGUUUGGUGGUUGCCAGGACAACAGUACAUGUCUGACUGCAUUGUACAAAGUGUAAAGUUUGGUGGAGGGGGGAUUAUGGUGUGGGGUUGUUUUCAGAAGCUGAGCAUGGCUCCUUAGUUCCAAUGAAAGGAACUCUUAAUGCUUCAACAUACCAAGGCAUUUUGGACAAUUUCAUGCUCCCACCUCUGUGGGAACAGUUUGGACAUGGCCCCUUUCUGUCCCAACAUUACUGCACACCAGUGUAGAAAGCAAGAUCCAUAAAGACUUGAAUGAGUGUUUGGUGUGGAAGAACGUGACUGGCCUGCACAGACUCCUGACCUCAACCCGAUGGAGGACCUUUGAGAUGAAUUGGAGCAGAGACUGUGAGCCAGGUCUUCUCGUCCAACAUCAGUGUCUGACUUCACAAAUGUGCUUCUGGAAAAAUGGUCACAAAUUCCCAGAAACACUCCUAAACACUGUGGGAAGCCUUGCCAGAAGGGUUGAAGCUGUUAUAGCUGCACACUGCGACUGGUCUGUUGUGGUGAAGAAAGGGCAAAUUUGUUGUUUCAUGGUUUUAUCUAUGGCCUCAAGCUGUGGCUAGUGACCUACAGAAUAAGAUCAACAACUUAGUGUCUUCCCCAAAGAGGAGAAGGCUCAGAGGGAGGUCUGAGAAUCAUCUCUGCUUGGACUGAUGUCCCUCCAACCUGGAUGAGGGGUAGAAGAUGGGAGGAUGGAUUUUGUAGGAUCUGUACAUAGAUUAUAAAGCUCCUAAGACAACUGCUGAUCUGAGUUUUUGUCAUAGAAGUCAAAAUAAAGUUAAUUAAAUUGAUGAUCCAGAGUUGUUGGGGUAUUUUUAUAAUUUUAAUUUUCUUAUGGGAAGCACAGAAGCAGUAAUCUAAUACAUCUCUAAGAGGAUCCAAAGUCUUAUAAUUACCUUAUAGAACAUCAUGACACAGAAAACCCAUUUGGAAAAAUACAGCAGCAU
ensembl:lncRNA